rnacentral:rRNA from 1 species
AUUGAACGCUGGCGGCAGGCUUAACACAUGCAAGUCGAGCGGAGAUGAGGUGCUUGCACCUUAUCUUAGCGGCGGACGGGUGAGUAAUGCUUAGGAAUCUGCCUAUUAGUGGGGGACAACAUUCCGAAAGGAAUGCUAAUACCGCAUACGUCCUACGGGAGAAAGCAGGGGAUCUUCGGACCUUGCGCUAAUAGAUGAGCCUAAGUCGGAUUAGCUAGUUGGUGGGGUAAAGGCCUACCAAGGCGACGAUUGGUAGCGGGUCUUAGAGGAUGGUCCGCCACACUGGGACUUGGACACGGCCCAGACUCCUACGGGGGGCAGGAGUGGGGAAUAUUGGAAAAUGGGGGGAACCCUGAUCCAGCCAUGCCGGGUGUGUGAAGAAAGCCUUAUGGUUGUAAAGCACUUUACGCGAGGAGGAGGCUACUGAGACUAAUACUCUUGGAUAGUGGACGUUACUCGCAGAAUAAGCACCGGCUAACUUCGUGCCAGCAGCCGCCGUAAUAC